AGAGUUUGAUCCUGGCUCAGGAUGAACGCUAGCGGCAGGCUUAACACAUGCAAGUCGAGGGGCAGCAUAAUGGAUAGCAAUAUCUAUGGUGGCGACCGGCGCACGGGUGCGUAACGCGUAUGCAACCUACCUUUAACAGGGGGAUAACACUGAGAAAUUGGUACUAAUACCCCAUAACAUCAUGAAAGGCAUCUUUUAUGGUUGAAAAUUCCGAUGGUUAGAGAUGGGCAUGCGUUGUAUUAGCUAGUUGGUGAGGUAACGGCUCACCAAGGCGACGAUACAUAGGGGGACUGAGAGGUUAACCCCCCACACUGGUACUGAGACACGGACCAGACUCCUACGGGAGGCAGCAGUGAGGAAUAUUGGUCAAUGGACGCAAGUCUGAACCAGCCAUGCCGCGUGCAGGAUGACGGCUCUAUGAGUUGUAAACUGCUUUUGUACUAGGGUAAACUCACCUACGUGUAGGUGACUGAAAGUAUAGUACGAAUAAGGAUCGGCUAACUCCGUGCCAGCAGCCGCGGUAAUACGGAGGAUUCAAGCGUUAUCCGGAUUUAUUGGGUUUAAAGGGUGCGUAGGCGGUUUGAUAAGUUAGAGGUGAAAUGUUAGGGCUCAACCCUGAAACUGCCUCUAAUACUGUUGGACUAGAGAGUAGUUGCGGUAGGCGGAAUGUAUGGUGUAGCGGUGAAAUGCUUAGAGAUCAUACAGAACACCGAUUGCGAAGGCAGCUUACCAAACUAUAUCUGACGUUGAGGCACGAAAGCGUGGGGAGCAAACAGGAUUAGAUACCCUAGUAGUCCAGAAGUGGCUUCCAGUU
rnacentral:rRNA from 1 species